rnacentral:rRNA from 1 species
AUUGAACGCUGGCGGCAUGCCUUACACAUGCAAGUCGAACGGCAGCACGGGGGCAACCCUGGUGGCGAGUGGCGANACGGGUGAGUAAUGCAUCGGAACGUACCCAGUAGUGGGGGAUAGCCCGGCGAAAGCCGGAUUAAUACCGCAUACGACCUGAGGGUGAAAGCGGGGGCUCGCAAGACCUCGCGCUAUUGGAGCGGCCGAUGUCAGAUUAGGUAGUUGGUGGGGUAAAGGCCUACCAAGCCUGCGAUCUGUAGCUGGUCUGAGAGGACGACCAGCCACACUGGGACUGAGACACGGCCCAGACUCCUACGGGAGGCAGCAGUGGGGAAUUUUGGACAAUGGGCGCAAGCCUGAUCCAGCCAUGCCGCGUGCGGGAAGAAGGCCUUCGGGUUGUAAACCGCUUUUGUCAGGGAAGAAAAGUUCCGGGUUAAUACCCUGGGAUGCUGACGGUACCUGUAGAAUAAGCACCGGCUAACUACGUGCCAGCAGCCCGCGGUAAUACGUAGGGUGCNGAGCGUUAAUCGGAAUUACUGGGCGUAAAGCGUGCGCAGGCGGUUGUGCAAGACAGAUGUGAAAUCCCCGGGCUCAACCUGGGAACUGCAUUUGUGACUGCACGACUGGAGUGCGGCANAGGGGGAUGGAAUUNCCGCGUGUAGCANUGAAAUGCNGUANAUUUGCNGGAGGAACACCGAUGAACNAANGCAAUNCCCUNGGGCCUGCACUGACGCUCAUGCACGAAAAGCGNGGGGGAGCAAANAGGAUUAGAUACCCUGGUAGUCCACGCCCUUAAANAUGUCANAANNGAGNUUANCGCGUGAAANUUANCCGCNUGGGGGAAGNNCGGCCGCAANGGUUUNAAACUCAAANGAAAUNNNCGGGGNCCCNGCNCAAGCGGUGNAUNAUGUGGUUUANUUNNACGCAACGCGAANAACCUUNCCUACCCUUGACAUGCCUGGAAUCCUGCAGAGAUGCGGGAGUGCUCGAAAGAGAGCCAGGACACAGGUGCUGCAUGGCCGUCGUCAGCUCGUGUCGUGAGAUGUUGGGUUAAGUCCCGCAACGAGCGCAACCCUUGCCAUUAGUUGCUACGAAAGGGCACUCUAAUGGGACUGCCGGUGACAAACCGGAGGAAGGUGGGGAUGACGUCAGGUCAUCAUGGCCCUUAUGGGUAGGGCUACACACGUCAUACAAUGGCCGGUACAGAGGGCUGCCAACCCGCGAGGGGGAGCCAAUCCCAGAAAACCGGUCGUAGUCCGGAUCGCAGUCUGCAACUCGACUGCGUGAAGUCGGAAUCGCUAGUAAUCGCGGAUCAGCGUGUCGCGGUGAAUACGUUCCCGGGUCUUGUACACACCGCCCGUCACACCAUGGGAGCGGGUUCUGCCAGAAGUAGGUAGCCUAACCGCAAGGAGGGCGCUUACCACGGCAGGGUUCGUGACUGGGGUGAAGUCGUAACAAGGUAACC